rnacentral:lncRNA from 1 species
UAAAAAAAAAAGGAUGCUCAAAGAGCCACUCCUGUCUCGAAUAUUGUGCAUAACUCAAUUUGAACAUAUUAUUUUAAUUUCACGAUUCUGAGAAUUAUUUAUACAUUUUCUUUAACUAAUAUGAUGAUAAAACGAUACAAUAAAUUCCUAGAUCUUGCAUGAUGUGUGGGAUUUUAUUUUAUAUGUAUCUAGAAUUUUCAUUGAUUUUCGGGUCAACAAUUUUUGACAAUUUGAAUAUCCUUGAAAUUGAUUUUUCAAAAUUUAUUUAUGAAAUUUUAUUUGAAGUUUUUGGAUGAAAAUUGGUUAUUUUUGUUGAUUAAACAUUGAGGAAUAACAUAUAUAUUUUCUGGAAUUUUUGAGCUUAUUUUA